AGUGGGAGCCCGCCGGCGUCCUCGGGUCCGCGCAGCCCCCCGCGCGGGCCCGGCUCGCGCGGCCGCCGUACUGUCCACCCGACCGCGGGCCCCGGCGAGCGGACCCCGCGCUCGCGGCCAGUUUGCCUCCCCCAAAAUGAGAAGGUUGGGGACGCACUUCAAGGGCCGGAAGCCUGAAUCUGCCUGUGCCCCUGGCGGUAGGACGAGCACCUGGCCGGCGGGCCUGUCACCGCGGCUACUUCCGGAGCUACUCCCCCCCCCCCACCCCGAGAUGGCAGAAACUAGCACCGGGUCCCACCGCGCUCACCUCGCAGGCUCCCUCUUGGCGCCCAAAACCUAGCAGAAGCCACAAUCUACAGAGAUGCAGUAACCUGUGACAUGAGAGAGACUACUCAGCCAUAAAAAGGAACGAAGUUGAGCCAUUUGCAGAGACGUGGAUGGACCUAGAGACCAUCAUGCAGAAUGCAGAGUGAGGUCUUUCGUUACCCUGGUUGGUCACCUUUGGACACACUCAGGUGUGUUAAUGAACCAUGAAGGGUCGAGCCCAGCACUGGACACCGCCUCCACCGUGACCUGAUGACACUGGAUCCAAUGUUAUUGUCUCUGUGCAGAGCUCUCUUGUUCUGAUAAUGAAGCUCGGAUGGGACUUGCCCUCUGGCAGCCUUUCAACAUAGUGGGCCACGCGGAGCCUAAAAUCAGCUUUAAAACCCAACUCCCUCCUCUGGUCAGAUCAUAUAUUCCAGGGACUCUGAUUAUUUGGAUUCCAUUUCGUGACUAAAAAAUGUUGACACCAACAGGACAGCACCAACUUUUAAAAACUGUCGCAAGGAAGGAUCUCUGAAAGAGACUAGAGGAAAAUGGUACCAGCUGGAAGGUCAGAUCUACACAAUGUCGAAUUUUGGAACUGGUAAUAAAUAUGUGGUUAAGUGUAAAAGCGUUUUCAAAAGUCAUUUUAAAAUUUCUUUAAAGAAUAAAGCUUCACAUCCUUGUCAACACUUGGUAUUUCUAAUCCUUUUUAAUUUUAGCCAUUCUGGUGAGGGUGCGGUGGUGCUAUGCCACUGUCGUUUUAACAUUAAACAUUUAUUAAAUGCAUACGUGACAUGCUUAUAAAAUGGAGUAUUGGCUGUAAAUGAAGGUUUUCAAAGGAGGUUUAAUAUUCUGGGGAUAUGCUUAUGAUAUGCUAAAGAUGAAAAAUAAUAUAAAAACUCUGUAUACAGUAUACUUUUGUUUUUAUUUUAAUAUAUACAUAUUAAUAAAGAGGACUGGAAGAAAUUCACCAAGAUAUCAGGGCAGACCUUGCUUUAUUGCGCUUCACAGAUGUCGCUUUUUUAAACAAAUCGAAGGUUCGUGGCAACCCUGCCUCAAGCAAGUCUGUCGGCGCCGUUUUUCCGACAGCAUUGGCUCCCCUCGUGCCUCUGUGCUACAUUUUGGUAAUUCUCUCAAUAUUUCAAACAUUUUCAUUAUUAUUGUAUUUGUUAUGAUGAUCUGUGAUCAGUGACCCUUGAUGUUACUACUAUGACUCCCUGAAGCCUUGGAUGAUGGAUAGCACUUUUA